AUUGAACGCUGGCGGCAGGCCUAACACAUGCAAGUCGAGCGGAGCGGCGGACGGGUGAGUAAUGCCUGGGAAUUUGCCUGGUAGUGGGGGAUAACUUCCGGAAACGGGCGCUAAUAAAGCAUACUCUCAGACGAGCCUAGGUUGGAGUAGAUAGUUGGUGGGGUAAAGGCGUACCAAGGCGACGAUCCGUAACUGGGCUGAGAGGAUGAUCAGUCACACUGGAACUUAGACACGGUCCAGACUCCUACGGGAGGCAGCAGUGGGGAAUAUUGGACAAUGGGCGAAAGUCUGAUCCAGCCAUGCCGCGUGUGUGAAGAAGGUCUUCGGAUUGUAAAGCUCUGUAAGUUGGGAGGCGGUACCAACAGAAUAAGCACCGGCUAACUACGUGCCAGCAGCCGCGGUAAUAC
rnacentral:rRNA from 1 species